rnacentral:rRNA from 1 species
UGACCUCGGAUCAGGUAGGAGUUACCCGCUGAACUUAAGCAUAUCAAUAAGCGGAGGAAAAGAAACCAACCGGGAUUGCCUCAGUAACGGCGAGUGAAGCGGCAAGAGCUCAAAUUUGAAAUCUGGCCCCUUUGGGGUCCGAGUUGUAAUUUGCAGAGGAUGCUUCGGGUGCGGUCCCCAUCUAAGUGCCCUGGAACGGGCCGUCAUAGAGGGUGAGAAUCCCGUCUGGGAUGGGCGGCCGCGCCCGUGUGAAGCUCCUUCGACGAGUCGAGUUGUUUGGGAAUGCAGCUCUAAGCGGGUGGUAAAUUUCAUCUAAAGCUAAAUACUGGCCGGAGACCGAUAGCGCACAAGUAGAGUGAUCGAAAGAUGAAAAGCACUUUGAAAAGAGAGUUAAACAGCACGUGAAAUUGUUGAAAGGGAAGCGUUGUCCACCAGACUCGCCCGGGGGGGUUCAGCCGGCACGUGUGCCGGUGUACUCCUCUCCGGGCGGGCCAGCAUCGGUUUGGGCGGCUGGUGAAAGGCCCCGGGAAGGUAACACCCCUCGGGGUGCCUUAUAGCCCGGGGUGCCAUACAGCCAGCCUGGACCGAGGCCCGCGCUUCGGCGAGGAUGCUGGCGUAAUGGUGGUCAACGGCCCGUCUUGUAACACGGACCAAGGAGUCUAACAUCUAUGCGAGUGUUCGGGUGUCAAACCCGUCCGCGCAGUGAAAGCGAACGGAGGUGGGAGCCCCUCGGGGCGCACCAUCGACCGAUCCUGAUGUCUUCGGAUGGAUUUGAGUAAGAGCAUAGCUGUUGGGACCCGAAAGAUGGUGAACUAUGCCUGAAUAGGGCGAAGCCAGAGGAAACUCUGGUGGAGGCUCGCAGCGGUUCUGACGUGCAAAUCGAUCGUCAAAUUUGGGUAUAGGGGCGAAAGACUAAUCGAACCAUCUGGUAGCUGGUUCCUGCCGAAGUUUCCCUCAGGAUAGCAGUAACGACAUCAGUUUUAUGAGGUAAAGCGAAUGAUUAGAGGCCUUGGGGUUGAAACAACCUUAACCUAUUCUCAAACUUUAAAUAUGUAAGAAGCCCUUGUUGCUUAGUUGAACGUGGGCGUUAGAAUGAAACGUUACUAGUGGGCCAUUUUUGGUAAGCAGAACUGGCGAUGCGGGAUGAACCGAACGCGAGGUUAAGGUGCCGGAAUGCACGCUCAUCAGACACCACAAAAGGUGUUAGUUCAUCUAGACAGCCCGACGGUGGCCAUGGAAGUCGGAAUCCGCUAAGGAGUGUGUAACAACUCACGGGCCGAAUGAACUAGCCCUGAAAAUGGAUGGCGCUCAAGCGUGCUACCCAUACCUCGCCGUCGGGGUAGAAACGAUGCCCCGACGAGUAGGCAGGCGUGGGGGUCCGUGACGAAGCCUUGGGAGUGAUCCCGGGUCGAACGGCCCCUAGUGCAGAUCUUGGUGGUAGUAGCAAAUACUCAAAUGAGAACUUUGAGGACUGAAGUGGGGAAAGGUUCCAUGUGAACAGCAGUUGGACAUGGGUGAGUCGAUCCUAAGACAUAGGGUAGUUCCGUUUGAAAGUGCGCCCUCGUGCGCCGUCCGUCGAAAGGGAAGCCGGUUAAUAUUCCGGCACCUGGAUGUGGAUUCUCCACGGCAACGUAACUGAACGCGGAGACAUCGGCGGGGGUCCUGGGAAGAGUUCUCUUUUCUUCUUGACAGCCUAUCACCCUGAAAUCGGUUUGUCCGGAGCUAGGGUUCCACGGCUGGCAGAGCUCGGCACCUUUGCCGGGUCCGGUGCGCCCCCGACGAUCCUUGAAAAUCCGCGGGAAGGAAUAGUUUUCACGCCAGGUCGUACUCAUAACCGCAGCAGGUCUCCAAGGUGAACAGCCUCUAGUUGAUAGAACAAUGUAGAUAAGGGAAGUCGGCAAAA